rnacentral:rRNA from 1 species
UGCGGGGGGGAGCAAGCGUUGUUCGGAUUUACUGGGCGUAAAGGGCGCGUAGGCGGCCACCGCAAGUCGACUGUGAAAUCUCCGGGCUUAACCCGGAAAGGUCAGCCGAUACUGCGGGGCUAGAGUGCAGAAGGGGCAACUGGAAUUCUCGGUGUAGCGGUGAAAUGCGUAGAUAUCGAGAGGAACACCUGCGGCGAAGGCGGGUUGCUGGGCUGACACUGACGCUGAGGAGCGAAAGCGUGGGGAGCGAACAGG